UUGAAGCAAGAGGAUCAACAGCAAACACAUCCAAAGUAAUUCCCUACAGAUUAAGUCUAUGAUAGCUGCCACGCUGGGACGUCAAAGAUAAUACAUAGAAACAUCUAUUUUCGUGUCAAAGAUAAUACAUAGAAACAUCUACAUAUUUUCGUGUACUAAUGUUGAUUUAAGUACAAAUUUGUAAGCUUCUGCUUCAUUUGCGUUGAUUCUUGGAAUAGAAUUAAACAAAUUAAAUGGAUUCCCUAUACUUACGACGCCCACUAAAGAUUUCAACCCAAGUCAUAGUUACUGAGGCUGACAGAAUUCAGAGCAAGAGACCAGAGUACAUUUUUCGGAUUAAGAUUCAAUGAGGAUCUUUCGGGGUUGCAACAUCGUGCUGGACCAGGUAGU